rnacentral:rRNA from 1 species
GACGAACGCUGGCGGCGUGCUUAACACAUGCAAGUCGAACGGAAAGGCCCUGCUUUUGUGGGGUGCUCGAGUGGCGAACGGGUGAGUAACACGUGAGUAACCUGCCCUUGACUUUGGGAUAACUUCAGGAAACUGGGGCUAAUACCGGAUAGGAGCUCCUGCUGCAUGGUGGGGGUUGGAAAGUUUCGGCGGUUGGGGAUGGACUCGCGGCUUAUCAGCUUGUUGGUGGGGUAGUGGCUUACCAAGGCUUUGACGGGUAGCCGGCCUGAGAGGGUGACCGGCCACAUUGGGACUAAGAUACGGCCCAGACUCCUACGGGAGGCAGCAGUGGGGAAUAUUGCACAAUGGGCGGAAGCCUGAUGCAGCAACGCCGCGUGCGGGAUGACGGCCUUCGGGUUGUAAACCGCUUUCGCCUGUGACGAAGCGUGAGUGACGGUAAUGUGUAAAGAAGCACCGGCUAACUACGUG